AUGGAAAAAGCAAGAGAGUUCCAGAAAAAAAAUUUCUGCUUUAUUGACUAUGCCAAAGCCUUUGACUGUGUGGAUCACAAUAAACUGUGGAAAAUUCUGAAAGAGAUGGGAAUACCAGACCACCUAACCUGCCUCUUGAGAAAUCUGUAUGCAGGUCAGGAAGCAACAGUUAGAAUUGGACAUGGAACAACAGACUGGUUCCAAAUAGGAAAAGGUGUACGUCAAGGCUGUAUAUUGUCACCCUGCUCAUUUAACUUCUAUGCAGAGUACAUCAUGACAAAUGCUGCACUGGAAGAAACACAAGCUGGAAUCAAGAUUGCCUGGAGAAAUAUCAAUAACCUCAGAUAUGCAGAUGACACCACCCUUAUGGCAGAAAGUGAAGAGGAGAUAAAAAGCCUCUUGAUGAAAGUGAAAGAGGAGAGUGAAAAAGUUGGCUUAAAGCUCAACAUUCAGAAAACGAAGACCAUGGCAUCUGGUCCCAUCACUUUAUGGGAAAUAGAUGGGGAAACAGUGGAAACAGUGUCAGACUUGAUUUUUUGGGGCUCCAAAAUUGCUGCAGAUGGUGACUGCAGCCAUGAAAUUAAAAGAUGCUUACUCCUUGGAAGAAAAGUUAUGACCAACCUAGAUAGCAUAUUCAAAAGCAGGGACAUUACUUUGCUGACUAAGGUCCGUCUAGUCAAGGCUAUGGUUUUUCCUGUGGUCAUGUAUGGAUGUGAGAGUUGGACUGUGAAGAAAGCUGAGUGCCGAAGAAUUGAUGCUUUUGAACUGUGGUGUUGGAGAAGACUCUUGAGAGUCCCUUGGACUGCAAGGAGAUCCAACCAGUCCAUUCUGAAGGAGAUCAACCCUCGGAUUUCUUUGGAGGGAAUGAUGCUGAAGCUGAAACUCCAGUACUUUGGCCACCUCAUGCGAAGAGUUGACUCAUUGGAAAAGACUCUGAUGCUGGGAGGGAUGUGGGGCAGUAGGAGAAGGGGACGACCGAGGAUGGGAUGGCUGGAUGGCAUCACGGACUCGAUGGACAUGAGUCCGAGUGAACUCCAGGAGAUGGUGAUGGACAGGGAGGCCUGGCGUGCUACGAUUCAUGGGGUUGCAAUGAGUCGGACACGACUGAGCGACCGAGCGACUGAACUGAACUGA
rnacentral:lncRNA from 1 species